rnacentral:rRNA from 1 species
UACGUAGGGUGCAAGCGUUGUCCGGAAUUAUUGGGCGUAAAGAGCUCGUAGGCGGCCUGUUACGUCUGCUGUGAAAUCCCGGGGCUUAACCCCGGGCGUGCAGUGGAUACGGGCUGGCUAGAGGCAGGCAGGGGAGAACGGAAUUCCCGGUGUAGCGGUGAAAUGCGCAGAUAUCGGGAGGAACACCGGUGGCGAAGGCGGUUCUCUGGGCCUGUACUGACGCUGAGGAGCGAAAGCGUGGGGAGCGAACAGG